GCAGGCUAAAAUUACACGCUCAGAAAAGCAGUUUGGAAAACAGCCGGUGUCUGAUUGGAACCCGCAGGAGGCGGGAAGGGAGCCCAGAUGCUGUGCCAAAACCUGAAGGCAUCUCCAGACCAAUCAAAGAAGGAUGCUGUGGAGGUUGGAGGCUGGGAAGUGAGAAAUGCUGUCACAGAAGUGCCCUCACAGAUGUGGCAUCAGGAGAUGCCACAGAUGGGGCCAGAGUCCCACGGAUAUUCCAGCUCUGUGCACAGAGAAAUCCCAGAGGAGGAUCCCUGGGGGCUGCAGCCAGG